AACGCACAUUGCGCCCUUUGGUAUUCCAAAGGGCAUGCUUGUUCGAGCGUCAUUUGUACCCUCAAGCUUUGCUUGGUGUUGGGUGUUUGUCCUCUCCACGCGUUAGGACUCGCCUUAAAUCAAUUGGCAGCCGAUGUAAUGGUUUGAAGCGCAGCACAAGUCGCGGUUCAGGCCACUUAUGUGGGCAUCCAGUAAGCACAAUAACACUUUUGACCUCGGAUCAAGUAGGGAUACCCGCUGAACUUAA
rnacentral:misc_RNA from 1 species